rnacentral:misc_RNA from 1 species
CCUGCUAAGAGAUUACAUACUCAACUGAGUUAUUGGCAACAGUUAGGCCUAAAUGUAAACAAACUGACCGGAUGAGCGCUUCCAUCACGUUGUCGUCUGCCGCCAAUACUUAUCAUGUUGCUAAAUGUCUGCAAGCCAUGGGAAAAACAAUGUUAUAUUGAUUCCAAGAAGCGACUGGAUAAACUGAGGACCAGUAAAUCAGAGGCCAGUUAUGAGGGGUUCUACUGUAUUGAAACUUCAAAUUAACAAUUACAUCAGAUAAAAAUGCCUAAAGCAGUUAUUACCUUUAUAUGUUUAUAAGAAAAUGGUUAUUAUAAUUUGAUGCCCCUUCUAACUCGGCGCCUGGGGCACAUGCCCUCGCUGCCCCUCCUUGGAUCUGGCCCUGACCUGGGUAAUAGGUAGCUGUGCUGCCUCACUUGUCUACACCAUCUCUAAGCAUGGUGUCUGCCUGAAGCUGUCCUAUUGUAUGUUGCAAUAAUUUGCUGCUCGCAGUCCUAUAUCCUGGCAUAGAAGACUCCCUGCCUGCAGAGACCUUGGCUGGUCUAUAUACAUCCGGAUUGGUAAUCAGGAUAUUCUGGUUACUGGCUCUAGCUCUUGUUUACACAGGAAUGACUAUCACUAUCACUGCGCAAGUGAGAAACUAUCUGAGCAGCCCAGUUCUGAUGUCACUCAAUGGAGAAAUAACGCCAACUUGGGACAUUCCUUUCCCAGCCAUCUCAUUCUGCAGUGAAAAUCAAAUCAAUCCGUCCUUAAUCAACUUAACCGAGCUCAUCAACAAACAAAACCGAACAAUAGAAGAGUAGGUGUCUAUACAAUGUAAAUAUAUGGGUUUCAAUUUUUUCCAAGUUGAGAAUUAGUAUUUUUUAAACAAUUGCUAUUUUGAUUCAUUAUACUUAGGCAUAUAUGCCUAUAAACACCCUGA